rnacentral:rRNA from 1 species
GAUGAACGCUAGCGGCAGGCCUAAUAUAUGCAAGUCGAGGGGUAGAAGAGGCUUGCUUCUUUGAGACCGGCGCACGGGUGCGUAACGCGUAUGCAACCUACCUUCAUCUGGGGGAUAGCCCGGAGAAAUCCGGAUUAAUACCGCAUAAAAUCACAGAUGGCAUUAUCCAAUGAUCAAACAUUUAUGGGAUGGAGAUGGGCAUGCGUGUCAUUAGCUAGUUGGCGGGGUAACGGCCCACCAAGGCGACGAUGACUAGGGGAGCUGAGAGGAUGGCCCCCCACACUGGUACUGAGACACGGACCAGACUCCUACGGGAGGCAACAGUAAGGAAUAUUGGUCAAUGGAGGCAACUCUGAACCAGCCAUGCCGCGUGCAGGAAGACUGCCCUAUGGGUUGUAAACUGCUUUUAUUCGGGAAUAAACCUUAUUACGUGUAAUAAGCUGAAUGUACCGAAGGAAUAAGGAUCGGCUAACUCCGUGCCAGCCGCCGCCGUAA